UCAAGAAUAUUCCACAAUGGCCGAAAGGCUGAUGGAGCGACGCCGCGUGCAGGAAGAAGCCCCUCGGGGUGUAAACUGCUUUUAUCAGGGACGAAUCAAUGACGGUACCUGAUGAAUAAGGGGCUGCUAACUUCGUGCCAGCAGCAGCGGUAAUACGAAGGCCCCAAGCGUUAUCCGGAUUUAUUGGGCGUAAAGGGUGCGUAGGCGGUUUAUCGCAUCUCCUGUUAAAUCACGAGGCUCAACUUCGUGGCCGCAGGAGAGAUGGGUAAACUAGAGGCCGGAAAAGGUACGCGGAAUUGCUGGUGUAGGGGUUAAAUCCGUUAAUAUCAGCAGGAACACCAAAUGCGAAGGCAGCGUACUGGUACGGUCCUGACGCUCAGGCACGAAAGCGUGGGGAGCA
rnacentral:rRNA from 1 species